rnacentral:rRNA from 1 species
ACUCUUGCGGAGGAGCUUUAUCUCAGGAGUGUCGCAGACGAGGAGAUGGCAAGAUGCAUGGCCUAUAUCUGCAAGAUUGAUCCAGCAGCGCCUCUCGAUAUCAGCUAUGUGGUUCGAUAGUCUAUAGCCACGCGGGUUCUCAAUGACGAGGCGCCGGAUAUGGAGUCCCAGACGGCAACACUUACGAGGGGGUACCGCUUAUUAUCAUGGAUUGAGGUUCUCUCUUUUCAGUCAGUAUGAUGUAUUACGACAUUAUUAUUUAUUAGUGACUGCAGCCCUCCGAUGGCUGCUCCCUGCAUACUCUGUGUACUGCUCUUCGGUCUCGUAUCUCUGGUCAUACUCUUGCAGAGUCUGGUUUCUGGUCUUCUCAUUCUGUCAAUGUCAAUUGCUCUAUGAUGUAUGUAUGUUAUUUUCCUCCUUAUGAUACACAGGCUACACUCAAGGCAGCUCGAAGGACUCCUGGAUGAUAGGGACUCCAGUGACCUUGAGUCUAAUCUUUAUACGGGGUCAGGUGCAGGCGAUAAACCCGAACGCCUCACUCUAAGCCGUGUUGCCGCUGGCAGGAGGGAUAACCCUGACUACUCGGCUAUAUGACAAAGUGUGACUGCUUCUAAAUACACCUGGGUGACAGCCGGCCAGUCCUCCAACCCACUGAGCUCCGUCCGGGGAAGGAUAUCUAACCGGACCCUUGAAGCAGAGGGGGCGCGACAUCGUGAGCCUGGGUGAAGAGGGUCCCAGUGCAGAUCUUGGUGGUAGUACAAAAUAUUCAAAUUAAAACUUUGAAGACCGAAGUUGAGAAGGGUUCCAUGUGAACAGCGCUUGGACAUGGGUCAGUCGGCCCUAAGAGAUGUGRAAACCUUGUAUCAAGGGCGCACUGCGCACCGCACAUCGAAAGGGGUUUUGGUUAAAUUUUUCGAACCUGGUUGCGGAGGUGAACGGUAACGUAACCAGCUCCGAAAAUGUCGGCAAAGCCGUGGGGAAGGUUCUCUUUCCUUCUUGAUGGCUCGCCUUCCCUGGAAUCGGAUCAACCGGAGAUAGGGUGCAGCGCCCGGCAAAGCACCGCGCGUCCUGUGGUGUCCAGCGCGCCCCCGACGGCCCUUGAAAAUCUGGAGCUGCGGGUACCUCUCACGCCUGACCGUACUCAUAACCGCAUCAGGUCUUUUCCUUGAGCAGCCUCUGGUGAAAGGAAAAAUAUAGGUAAGGGAAGUCGGCAAUAUGGAUCCGUAACCUUGGGAAAAGGAUUGGCUCUGAGGGYUGGGCCUAGGGGUCUGCGCCUCGAUGUCAUUGGCUGUCGGUGGUCUGUGUGAGCUGCUCUCGUGGUGAGGGCGGAGCCCGCGUGCCAGUGUGCCGACGGGCGUAGAAUGUCUUAUGUCCCCACCUUUCGGGUGGGGCCGUGGGACUCUCCCUAAGCAUCAAACUGUCGACUAAGAACUGGUGCGGACAAGGGGAAUCUGACUGUUUAAUUAGAACAAAGCAUUGCGAUGGUCCCAACGGAUGUUGACGCAAUGUGAUUUCUGCCCAGUGCUAUGAAUGUCAAAGUGAAGAGAUUCAUCCAACGGUAAACGGCGGGAGUAACUAUGACUCUCUUAAGCUAGCGAAAUGCCUCGUCAUCUAAUUAGUGACGCGCAUGAAUGGAUUAACGAGAUUCCCACUGUCCCGAUCUACCAUCCUGCGAAACGACAGCCAAGGGAACGGGCUUGGAAGAAUCGGCGGGGAAAGAAGACCCUGUUGAGCUUGACUCUAGUUCGACUCUGUGAAAUAACUUGAGAGGUGUAGAAUAAGUGGGAGUUCUACAGCGCAAGUGAAAUACCACUACUUUUAACGUUAUUUUACUUAUUUCGUGAGGUGGAGCCGGGGCUCUGCCCCUGCUUCUCGAUCCAAGGUGCAGGCCCUCGUGGCBUGUCCGAUCCAAGCGAAAGACAUUGUCAGGUGGGGAGUUUGGCAGGGACGGCGAAUCUGCUAGAAGAUAACGCAGGUGUCCUAAGAUGAGCUCAACGAGAACAAAAAUCUCGUGUGGAGCAAGAGGGCAAAAGCUCAUUUGACUUUGAUUUCCAGUACGAAUGCAAACUGUGAGAGCAUGGCCUAUCGAUCCUUUAGCGUUUCAAGACUUGAAGCUAGAGGUGUCAGAAAAGUUACCAAAGGGAUAACUGGCUUGUGGCAGCCAAGCGUUCAUAGCGACGUUGCUUUCCGAUCCUUCGAUGUCAGCUCUUCGUAUCAUUGUGAAGCAGAAUUCACCAAGUGUUGGAUYGUUCACCCACCAACAGGGAACGUGAGUUGCGUUUAGACCGUCGUGAGGCGAUCUUGCCCGCUCGCCUCGUCGCUUGUUGGGGUGAGUCUUGGAGCUCGACCCUUGCAUCCGUGUGGAUGUGGAGGGCACGGGAGAGCCGUAGAAUGAAAGUGUUUUAGGACUAGUUCUAGUUCAACGUGUGAAAGGACUUGCUAUCAAGGUUUAGGGCGGAAGUAGCAAAUAUGUCGAGAGCAAUUCCUACCCCUUCCAUCCUGGAAGGGGACGAAAGGACUUGCUCUCAAGGAUUAGGGUGGACGUAGCAAAUUUGUUGAGAGCAAGUCCCACGCCUUCCGUCCUGGAAUGGGAAAGUUGUGUAGAUGUAGUUUCUUAAACGAAUCAGGUCCUCGACA